rnacentral:rRNA from 1 species
AACGUAGGACGCGAGCGUUAUCCGGAGUUACUGGGCGUAAAGCGCGGGCAGGCGGUCUGACAAGUCUGAUGUGAAAUCUCCGGGCUUAACCGGGAGAGGCCAUUGGAAACUGACAGGCUGGAGGGCAGUAGAGGUAGGCGGAAUUCCGGGUGGAGUGGUGAAAUGCGUAGAGAUCCGGAGGAACACCAGAGGCGAAGGCGGCCUACUGGGCUGCACCUGACGCUGAGCCGCGAAAGCCGGGGGAGCGAACGGG